rnacentral:rRNA from 1 species
GACGAACGCUGGCGGCGUGCUUAACACAUGCAAGUCGAACGGAAAGGCCCUGCUUUUGUGGGGUGCUCGAGUGGCGAACGGGUGAGUAGCACGUGAGUAACCUGCCCUUGACUUUGGGAUAACUUCAGGAAACUGGGGCUAAUACCGGAUAGGAGCUCCUGCUGCAUGGUGGGGGUUGGAAAGUUUCGGCGGUUGGGGAUGGACUCGCGGCUUAUCAGCUUGUUGGUGGGGUAGUGGCUUACCAAGGCUUUGACGGGUAGCCGGCCUGAGAGGGUGACCGGCCACAUUGGGACUGAGAUACGGCCCAGACUCCUACGGGAGGCAGCAGUGGGGAAUAUUGCACAAUGGGCGAAGCCUGAUGCAGCAACGCCGCGUGCGGGAUGACGGCCUUCGGGUUGUAAACCGCUUUCGCCUGUGACGAAGCGUGAGUGACGGUAAUGGGUAAAGAAGCACCGGCUAACUACGUG